CGGCGACUCUGGGAUUCCGACCCUCCGGUCUCUGUCGAUUCUGUCCGCCUCAGGUUACUUGUGAAAGCCCGAAAAAGGGCUCUUUAUGUAAAAUCUUGUGAAUGCGAAAGUUUUGGUUACUCAAGCAGAAGAGCAUUUGGAGAGAAAGUAAGGAAAAGAACUCAGAACUCGGAUUGAGGAGAAAUCGUUUAGGGUCUUGCUUCGUUCCUCGAGAAAUGAGCUAGAGUUCGUACAUGCCAGUGCCUUGCUCCUACGUUGUGCUGCUUAAAGUAAGGACUGUACUGGCCCAGCAGUUGAGCGACGGUUGGUAUCAGCAGAGGUUUGUUUCAUGAACCCUCUAGCAGAAACUCAGAACUAUCACUGCUGCUUUUGAAUACAGAGAGGUGAAAAAUUUUGUGGCUGGGGGCAACCAAGGUUUUGACUGGCCGGGAGAGUGGGUUGCAGAUUAGAGAAGAAGAAAUAUUACUGUUUUUCAAAAACAGACCUAAAUGGAUUGACUCUACCCCCUCUUUUAUGUUGUGGCCAUGGAUUCCAUAUUAUGGUUCUGGUAAAAUCCUCUGGAUGUGAUGGAUCACAAAGAGGGCUCCAGAAUCCAUGGAUUGUCAGUCAUCUUGAUAAAUCAACAGUCUACUCAAUCUAAUCCUCCUACAAGCUGUUCCAUUUCUUAUAUUCUGAAUGUCUAGUACUACUGUUACUAUCUAGUACCUAGCAUAGUGUGCAGCACUUAGAAAACACUGAAAACAUAUUUAUUGAAUGGAUUGUUGAAGACUUCAUCUAAUCUCCAGAUAUGAAAACUUUGGAGGAAGGAAAGAUUCCCUCUUCUCUCAAGUCAUGUUCGUAGUGAUUAUCUGCAUAGCAUCUAGUGUAAGGAGGAUGGACCACUAGGAAGAAGCUUCGUUUUGCUGAAUGAGAUGGUGUGUGGUGGCAUGAGUUGUAGAAGCGACUGAAGGCUGUAUUCUGUACAGAAGGCACAGAGAGACCCAGGAUACAUGGAUGAAAGAGAUUGGCCCUUUCUCUGGUUGACCAUGCCUCUCCUCUGUUUCACUCAUACUGGGUGUGGCCAUUUGUUCUUCAAGAGCCACUCUGCAUAAUGAUGUCUCAGAGCUCUAAACAGGUUUAUAUAAAUUCAGAGCAAAGACCAUGUUCUUCUCACGUUUCCUAUCACUGCAUUUCUAGCAGGCAGCAUAACACCUGGCGCACAACAGCCGAAAGUCUAUGAUUAAGAGGUGCCGGUUCUGUCUCUCACUACUUGGAGAAACUGAAGCGAGGCAGGGAGAGACCAUCCCGGAACAGGCUGACCACAGGCAGGAAACAUGCCUACAAGGUAUCCAUCACAGCUGACAGAAGAAUGGAACAAUCUGAAGCCUGGAGCCCAUCAUGCCUGCAGCCCAACAUCCCUGGACCCCCUCCUUACUGCCCAUUUUCCCUAGAUAACUGCCCUAAGAUUCUGUAACUUUGGAAGAAGGGUUUUUGAGACAUUAGUCACCCAUCUUCUGAUUAGCCAGCUAAUCUAAUUAAACUUCCUUUCUCCAUCUCUAACUUGUGAUUGAUUGGCUCAGAUUGUGGCGAACAGAGCAAGCCCAUUGCUUGGUGUCAUCCCUUCACCCCCACUUCCUCUGCCCUCCACAGAGAUUAGCA
ensembl:lncRNA